rnacentral:tRNA from 1 species
GCCUGCUUGGUGGAAUUGGUAGACACAACAGACUUAAAAUCUGUCGCUCUAUGGGCUUGCCGGUUCGAGUCCGGCAGCAGGUACCA